GGCUCCAUAGUGUAGUGGUUAGCAUGUCUGCUUUACACACAGAAGGUUCUGGGUACACGCCCCAGGUAAAGCCA
rnacentral:tRNA from 1 species